rnacentral:rRNA from 1 species
AGUACGAUCGCAAGAUUAAAACUCAAAGGAAUUGACGGGGCCCCGCACAAGCAGCGGAGCAUGCGGCUUAAUUCGACGCAACGCGAAGAACCUUACCAAGGCUUGACAUAUAGGGAAAAGUGGCAGAGAUGUCAUGUCCGCAAGGGCUCUAUACAGGUGGUGCAUGGUUGUCGUCAGCUCGUGUCGUGAGAUGUUGGGUUAAGUCCCGCAACGAGCGCAACCCUCGUUCUGUGUUGCCAGCAUUUAGUUGGGGACUCACAGGAGACUGCCGGGGUUAACUCGGAGGAAGGUGGGGAUGACGUCAAAUCAUCAUGCCCCUUAUGUCUUGGGCUGCACGCAUGCUACAAUGGCCGGUACAGAGGGCUGCAAUACCGUAAGGUGGAGCGAAUCCCAAAAAGCCGGUCUCAGUUCGGAUUGAGGUCUGCAACUCGACCUCAUGAAGUUGGAGUUGCUAGUAAUCGUAGAUCAGCAACGCUACGGUGAAUACGUUCCCGGGGCUUGUACACACCGCCCGUCACGUCACGAAAGUCGGUAACACCCAAAGUCAGUGGCCCAACCGCAAGGGGGGAGCUGCCUAAGGUGGGGUCGGUGAUUGGGGUG